rnacentral:tRNA from 1 species
GCCCGGUUAGCUCAGUUGGUUAGAGCAUUUCCUUGACAUGGAAGAGGUCAGAAGUUCGAGUCUUCUACCGGGCA